GUGUGCUGCAAGCAUUGGAACAGAAGUGUGGCUGGGGCAAGAGCUAGACAGGUUGUUUCACUUAAGCAACAUUUAUGCCUUGCUUUCCGUCACGGCAGAGCAUUCCCAGGCUUGCUGUAGUGUUUCUCUGCGCUCCUGGCAUUCAGGGGUACUGCCUUUAACCAUUCAUGGGUACAUUAUAGAGGAAGAUGGAAGAUUUGUGUGUCACAAAGCUGAACCCUUGGGAAGGAAUAUACUGAAAAACAUUAGACCAUCUACUGAAGCUGCACCUGGGAAACUAAAGUUUACUUCAUUAAUUUCUCAUCUAGAAAAUUGUACCUUCUCACACCAUCUGAUGGAAAUAAAGUGUAUGUUGCUGGGAUCAGGUGCCUGAGAUCAAUAAUGAUAUGGUGAAUGUAAGCUAUUUUUGGUAAAUUUGCCUUUAUAAGAGAUGAGGCAAAUAAGUAAAAAAAAAAAAAAUAAAAAAAAUAAAAAAAGCUGGGAAUUUUCUUGA
rnacentral:lncRNA from 1 species